GAGAUCCUUGAGGUUUUCUACUGGUAAGCAGGCUAUCUGAAUGCCUGCUGCUGCUUUGAGAACUGUAUUUCAAAAGGGAAGGUUGAACUAAUAAAUCAGAACAGUUAGCAAGGAUUGUGAAGUGUGAUGUAAAAUAUCAGUUUAUACUCAACAAAAGUACAGUGCUGGGCUGGUCAACAAAGGUGGAUGGCCCACAGCUCUAUUUUCUUGAAGUAGCAGUGGUGUUCAGAAGUGAUCAAAUGCUGUGCCUCCUGCUGGGUGGUGAGCCAUUGGCUAGUGUUCAGGCUCAACACAGUCACAGCCUUGAAGAUAGGCAGAAGUUAGCAGAGUCCUGAAGAACUUACAGCUUUCAGACUAAGAAUGCAAGACCCUGUGAAUAAUUUGAAGGUAUUGCCCGGACCGGUUUCACUAUGGUGGUGUUUAUCUGUUUCUCUGAGAAGUCAUUUCCUCAAGCAUGACUUACUCUCCAGUGUCUCUAUGCUCUUAUGUAAAUAAACAUGUUCAUGCUUUUGCCACAGCAAACAUUAAACGUGGUGGGGAUGACACACUCAGGAUACAUCUGUAUACCUGGAUAAGCUUGUGAUUACUGCUUGUAUAAGCAGAAAUCAUGAAACAUGUAUUUUCAACUAGCACAAGUGAUAUUAGCAGCAAUGCUAGCUCUAGCUUGCUGCAGAAACCAAAAUGUUUUCCUGAAUCCCAUGAAGAAUUCACUUCAUGAUCUUGCUUUUGCACAAAAUAAAGCCAAUGGUGUUGUACCUUCUGUUAUUCUUUAUUCAUAUGUUAUGUAUGAAUCAAUCACUUACUGAUUUUACUGUAUAGGUACAAUCACAGUACGUCUAAGUGAAACAAAAAUACAGUCUGAGCUUUAAUUUCAGCUGCAAGUGAGCAAACCAUCUUUGCACCACCAUUUUCACUUGCAGAUAGUAACAUCAUGGCUGUCUUGAAAGUGUUUGAAUUCCUCCAGAUGAUUCAUAGCUCAUAUGAAAUCCAAGUGAAAUCAGACCAUGCUCUGGCCUGUGUUCUGUCUCUGGGUCUAUUUUGUUAUUUGUUUGUUUUGCCUGUUUGCAGGUGG
rnacentral:lncRNA from 7 species